rnacentral:rRNA from 1 species
GGCUCAGAACGAACGCUGGCGGCGUGCCUAACACAUGCAAGUCGAACGAGAAGUACGUAGCAAUACGUAUUGUAAAGUGGCGCACGGGUGAGUAACACGUGGGUAAUCUGCCCUUGAGUUUGGGAUAACCCCGCGAAAGCGGGGCUAAUACCGGAUAAGACCACGGGGACCAAAGUCCCUGAGGUAAAAGAUGGCCUCUAUUUAUAAGCUAUCACUUAAGGAUGAGCCCGCGGCCCAUUAGCUAGUUGGUAGGGUAACGGCCUACCAAGGCUAUGAUGGGUAGCUGGUCUGAGAGGACGAUCAGCCACACUGGAACUGAGACACGGUCCAGACUCCUACGGGAGGCAGCAGUGGGGAAUAUUGCGCAAUGGGCGAAAGCCUGACGCAGCAACGCCGCGUGGGGGAUGAAGGUUCUCGGAUUGUAAACCCCUUUCGACCGGAACGAAUCUCCUCCUGGUAAAUAAUCAGGAGGAUCGACGGUACCGGGAGAAGAAGCCACGGCUAACUCUGUGCCAGCAGCCGCGGUAAGACAGAGGUGGCGAGCGUUGUUCGGAUUUAUUGGGCGUAAAGCGAACGCAGGCGGUUUGGUAAGUCAGAGGUGAAAGCCCACAGCUUAACUGUGGCACUGCCUUUGAUACUGCCUUUCUUGAGUAGAGUAGGGGGAAGCGGAAUUCCGAGUGUAGAGGUGAAAUUCGUAGAUAUUCGGAGGAACACCGGUGGCGAAGGCGGCUUCCUGGACUCUAACUGACGCUCAUGUUCGAAAGCGUGGGUAGCAAACAGGAUUAGAUACCCUGGUAGUCCACGCCCUAAACGAUGGGCACUAGGUGUGGGAGGUAUCGACCCCUUCCGUGCCGCAGCUAACGCAUUAAGUGCCCCGCCUGGGGAGUACGGCCGCAAGGUUGAAACU